rnacentral:rRNA from 1 species
AUUGAACGCUGGCGGCAUGCCUUACACAUGCAAGUCGAACGGUAACAGGUCUUCGGAUGCUGACGAGUGGCGAACGGGUGAGUAAUACAUCGGAACGUGCCCGAGAGGGGGGGAUAACGAGGCGAAAGCUUUGCUAAUACCGCAUACGAUCUCAGGAUGAAAGCAGGGGACCGCAAGGCCUUGCGCUCACGGAGCGGCCGAUGGCAGAUUAGGGAGUUGGUGGGAUAAAAGCUUACCAAGCCGACGAUCUGUAGAUGGUCUGAGAGGACGACCAGCCAGACUGGGACUGAGACACGGCCCAGACUCCUACGGGAGGCAGCAGUGGGGAAUUUUGGACAAUGGGCGCAAGCCUGAUCCAGCCAUGCCGCGUGCAGGAUGAAGGCCUUCGGGUUGUAAACUGCUUUUGUACGGAACGAAAAGACUCUGGUUAAUACCUGGGGUCCAUGACGGUACCGUAAGAAUAAGCACCGGUUAACUACGUGCCAGCCGCCGCAGUAACAC